UCCAAGUCAGCGCAAGGUGAAGGCCCUGAAGUAGAGACCCUAGAAACCAUUCAUCGAAGAAGGAAGUGUGCACGGACAAUCUUCCAACGAACAGCC